rnacentral:rRNA from 1 species
UGGGGAAUAUUGCACAAUGGGCGCAAGCCUGAUGCAGCCAUGCCGCGUGUGUGAAGAAGGCCUUCGGGUUGUAAAGCACUUUCAGCGGGGAGGAAGGCGAUAAGGGUAAUAACCUUGUCGAUUGACGUUACCCGCAGAAGAAGCACCGUCUAACCCCGUGCCAGCAGCCGCGGUAAUACGGAGGGUGCAAGCGUUAAUCGGAAUUACUGGGCGUAAAGCGCACGCAGGCGGUCUGUCAAGUCGGAUGUGAAAUCCCCGGGCUCAACCUGGGAACUGCAUUCGAAACUGGCAGGCUAGAGUCUUGUAGAGGGGGGUAGAAUUCCAGGUGUAGCGGUGAAAUGCGUAGAGAUCUGGAGGAAUACCGGUGGCGAAGGCGGCCCCCUGGACAAAGACUGACGCUCAGGUGCGAAAGCGUGGGGAGCAAACAGG